rnacentral:lncRNA from 1 species
CUGUAGAACCCCUAGGUGGCUCUAAAGUGUGACACCAAAUAAUUUCUGUGAGCUCAGAAGGGGACAGCAUCUGCCUUUAGGCAUGACAGUUCAGCCAACUCUGGGUGCCCUUGAGGGUUUCUCUUUCAAUCCCAGAAAUGCUGAUAACUCAGCUGGGCUGGGGCAGGAUUUGGCAUGAUAGGCUGGCUCUGAACCCCCUCCUAAGAGACCAAGAGAGGAAGUGAUGGAAUUGGUUGGUCCCAUUUCAACUCUAUGCUGAUUCUCAGGGUUCUCAUGGCUUCCCUAAGAGAGCCACCUAAACUGCUCGGGGGUGAAAAAUCCUCUUGUAUUGAAGUGCCAAGCUGCCUGCAGCAGUGCAUGAUGGACAUUUUUUUUUUCUUUUUAAAACACACCAACAAAAAAAUGUAUUUGUAGAUUGUGAUAAAAUGUAAAUAACUGAAUUUUCAACCAUGGUUUGAAGUCAGCUUUCAGGGCAUUAUGUCUUGUUUUGAUGAAAAGAGAUCACUCUAUACCCCCCUUUUUAAAGGAAAAUUAUCGCAAGAGAAUCAGGAUGUGUAAAGCUAACAUGCAUCGCAAAAAACCAAAGGUAACCUAAAUGUCUGAUUUUAAUAGCACAUAUUUCUCUUUUACAUAAACUGUGACAGCAACUUGCAUAAACAAUUCUUUAGCUGUUAAUUUUAAUGUUAAAACUUUGCAAAACUUGUUUAAUAAAAAUAGCUGUAAAAAGAAAAACCAUAUGUUGCCGCAUAAAUUAGCCAUAACUCUUAAUAAUCCUGCCCAUCACAAGUGAACUGUAACGUAACCUGGGCACAAAGUCUGACAUCUUAAAUGACACAUUGUAAAAUUUCAAUGACUGUAGAUUAGACCUCCUGCUGCACCCCAAAAGCUUUCUGCUCAGCUAUUUAAAACUGUGUAAGGAUGAGUCCCUGUAGGUCCCCAUAUUGAUAUUCACAAUGAAACUUUACUUAAAAUUUCUUAAAAGUUGCAUGUUUCUCCUGUAAUGUGUAAACUGCAUGCAGGAUCUCUUUAUCUUUUAUUUUGUAUGUCUUUAAAACUUCCUCUUCAAAAGACUGAUCUGUUAUUUCUCCAUUUUCAGGUGACUGAAAACUCCUGAGGCAUUUCCUGGACUAGAAUGGGUAGUGAAGACCCAUGUCAGCUAUCAGAGGACUCCUGAAACCUGGAGAGCUACCUGCUGUAUAAAGGCUGGCCUGAGGGCAUUUGCUGAACACAGAGAAACCCAGGAGAGGAGAUCAGCAGUUUUCUUUCACUCUACUUGAUCUGUCAGAUUUACCCACAGAAAGCCAGUCAGGAUCCCUUAAGAGUCUUUAGGCCCAGAAUGGAGUCCUCAGGGCUGCAGGGGACUGUGGUGCUAACAAUUAAACUGUUCAAGACUUUAAAGAGUUGAAGGGGACUAAUGGGUAUCCCUAGCAUGGCCUCCUAGAUGGGAAUUAACUGGCAACUCCUACUGUGCCAUUCCCAGUAUGUGUGCUUCCCUUUAGCCUCCCAUAGAAUUGGCUGAAACACCCUACCACCGUUUUCUGUUUCCCCACUACCACACCUGUGUUAUGGGUGUCAGCCUGUGAGUCCUUGAACCCUUCCAGAGGGCUCCCAAGGGAGGGUGAUCACUGCCCUUCCAUAAAAGGCUGAGGAAAGCCAAGUGAGAAGAUUCAAUUAAUUUGGGCAAGUUAUUUAACAUCUGAACCUGUUUUUCUCUUCAUUGUUUAUUACUUACCUUGUCCAAAAAGGUCAUAAAGGGUAGGGCUUUUUCUGUUCCACCUCUGUACUAUAUUUCUCCCCAACAAAUAUCUGCCCCUGAGGACCUCAAUAAAGGUUUGGUCAAGUGAUGAAUGGUCCCACUCUGGUAGCUUCUAUCAGCUUUGGGAGAGAGCCAAAGCCCCCUUGUUUAGCUCUCACUUUCCUUCCAGCUAUACUAGGCCAGCUAUUUGUUCUGCCAUUUUCCCUUGAAGGAUUGGAAAGUCAGCCUUUGAUAGGCUUCUGGUUUCCUCUGGCCUAUUUCUAGGUUGAUUUAUACUCAGCUUCCUGAGAGGCUAGGGACCUCUGAUACUGUACUCUUCCCUAAUGCCUUCUGGUUAUUUAUCCUAACAAAGGAACAAGGGGAAGGACUGAGUUUAGGGAGAGAAUAGAGCCUAUCUGCAUUUUAACUGUGCCUGGGGCAUUCUAGUGAGCUUGGAUUCAUCCUUAGCAGGAACAGAAGUAUAAUGGAAAGGGAUUCCUUAAAGUCAGUUGAUUUACACUGGGC